AUAACCAUCAGCCUAUUCCUAUUCUUAUUUCUUCCAGUGACAUUUUAGACGUUCUCUCGUUUUAUCUCCAACACCCCUUUCUCGAUCUAACCCUACCUCUGUUUCUUGAUGUUUCAAUUUCCCCCACCAAAAGCACUUACAGAAUUUGCUUCUCAUUGCGCUAGAUUUCCGUUUCAACGGUAAAUCUCUCUCUCGCCUUUUCAAUGGCGUUGGACAACUUUGGUGACUUUGUAUAAUGGAGACGGAUCCGAAAGCGGGCAACGAACAUCGAGAGGUCAAUUUGUAAUGUGCUUUGAUGACGAAUUGGAAGAUUUCGCUUUUUAUCAAGGUGGAUUGGAAAGAUAACUUUGGCUAGAGCACCUGUAUUUCAGUUCCACAUCUGGUUGAGGUGUGUAUAUACUACCAAAAAACUAAGAAUUGCCGGCGUUUAUAUUAUCGGCGUUUGUUUAUGCGGCGAUAAUAAAAUAUUAUUGCCAGCGCUUAAUUGUUAUGCAAGUAAAUUAUUGAGUUUUCCAAUGUUUAUGUUAUUACGCUGGUAAUAAUAUAUAGCUUUGGCGGCGUUUAAAAAAAUGCCGACAAUUUGUAAAUUAUACGCCGGUAAAUUAAUAGUUUGCUGGUGUUUAUAUUGUUACGCCAUUAAUGAUAUAUUGUUUUGGUAGCAUUUAAGAACAUGCCAAAAAAUUAUCAAUUAUAUGCGGAUAAAUUACUAGUUUGUCAGCGUUUAUAUUGUUACGGCAAUAACAAUAUAUAGCUUUAGCGGUGUUUAAAAAAGCGCCGAACAUUGAUC